AACACACACACACACACACACACACACACACACACCUCAGCGCGGAAAAACGGACAAGGCUUUUCCACUCGCUCUCUCUUUCACUCUCUCUCUCUCUCGCCGAAAUAGCUUUUCUCAUCUUUCUCAUUAUUUUUGGCCAAAAGCUUUGGCUUGUUUUUGUUCGCAAUCGAAAUCGGAAACUUUCGCCUGCGACACUUUGCCGCAUUUGUUGUUGCUCUGCCCAACCGUACUAAAUUUCAUUAUCUCGAGUGGCCGCAUUGUUUGUUUAUUCGUUAAAUUCGUUAAAUGUUAUUGUUCCUAAUUGACAACGUUAAUGGGCAUUAAAUUAAUCAAUCUAACUUGAUAAGGUCUUAUCAAAUUUGUUGUAUAUACUUUGAAUUAAUAGUUUUGGUUUGUUUUUAUAAAACAACCGAAAAUCGAUCGCACACGUUUAAAGUCAGUAUUACACACACAAACACAUUAAUAGCCAGCCAGCUCUCCCACUCUCUCUGGCUCUCUCCAGCACACACACACACACACGAACAGGCUGCAGCUGUUUUGAGCCGCAAGCUUAACCGGAACAAAAUCGGAACCAGCGUGACCGACGACUCGCAGCAGAAUGCGGAGAAUCGGAAAAUCGUAGAAAACAGCAGCCGACCACAACAACAGCUGCACAAGCGGCGUCGGCGUCCGGGAUGAAAAACUUUUUGGCCGCGCUCACACACACACACAAACACCUGUACAUCUUAUAUAGGGGGCCUACAUAUUAUAGGAAAUUUGAUAUGAAAACAUUGACAAGCAGCCGCAUAAAGCUUUUAGCCUUCAGCUGUGUGCACACAGUUGUUGUUAGUAACGAGGGUGUAUAACAGUUUAGCAUUUUCGACUGGUGGAAAUUCUUCUUGCGGCACAAGAGAAGCGCAAAGCUUUUCCGAAAACGAAGCUGAGGUUGGAAAAGUUUUUAUUCUUAGCGUCGAUUGAUUGCUGGCCGGGAAACGGAAUGCGGCAAUGUGUAAGAUAAGCGCUAACAGGCAUAAACGGAAUGGCUAAACAUUUGGCUGAUAAAUUCUGGUGAUAAGGGUAUUCACAGUGUGGCUCUACACAAAUUAAAUCGAUUUUUGUUUGUCAUAGUUUCUUGUUUCGGUACAAAAUGAAAAUCAAAACUAUUUUUCUUUUUUUGGAAUAAUAAUUAUAAUUAUUUCUUAAUAAGUAAUUAGUAGCCAUUGUAUUCCUUUUCUGACAUUUUAAAAAAUAAUUUGAUUGUUUGCCAAGCGCACCCAAAAAAAUAAAAUGACUUGUUAAAAUA